rnacentral:rRNA from 1 species
AUUGAACGCUGGCGGAAUGCUUUACACAUGCAAGUCGAACGGCAGCACGGACUUCGGUCUUGUGGCGAGUGGCGCACGGGUGAGUAACGUAUGGGAACGUGCCGAGUCGGGGGGUAUAACGUCGUGAAAAUUACUCUAAUACCACAUGCGAUGUAGGGAUGAACGCGGGAGAUCGAAGGACAUCGCGAGAGUGGCGCGGCCGAUAGCAGAUUAGGUAGUUGGUGGGGUAAAAGCCCACCAAGCCAACGAUCUGUAGCUGGUCUGAGAGGACGACCAGCCACACUGGAACUGAGACACGGUCCAGACUCCUACGGGAGGCAGCAGUGGGGAAUUUUGGACAAUAGGCGAAAGCCUGAUCCAGCCAUUCCGCGUGCAGGAUGAAGGCCCUCGGGUUGUAAACUGCUUUUGUACAGAACGAAAAGGUUUCUACUAAUACUAGGAGCUCAUGACGGUACUGUAAGAAUAAGCACCGGCUAACUACGUGCCAGCCGCCGCCGUAA